UCUUUCUCCCGGUUCUAUUGCGUCUGGUAGGAAGCUUUCUAUUUUUGUCAGUCCCAGGCUUUCUCUCUGCCAUCGCAGAUUGCUUUUGGAGUUUGUUUGUCUCGUUUCCAAUUUGUUCUGACUUUGUACCUAUUGCUUCUUGUUUGGUUGAUUGGCUUGGACUGCAUAUUCAAGGUUUGUAUUGUUAUUACAAACUUUAUCUUUGGUUUAUUCUUUUUUGUUUUUCAAUAGAUUUUGUGUGUUUUUUUUUUGGUCCUUUAAUUGAAGUGUUCAAUUUUGAUUUUUUUUUCUUUUGCAGGGUUUGAUUUUGUUUGUUUGUUUGUUUCAUUUUAAAGGUUUGAACUUGUUUCUUGUUUUAUUUGUUAUCCUAUAUAUUGUAUAUUUGGUGUAUUGUUUCUUUUUCAUCUAACAAUGGAGCUAUUUUUGCAACUGUAUAAAGGUAUGUAUGCAUUUUCAUUGAUUUAAUUUGCUAUUUGGUUGUUAGUGCUUAUUGGUUUCUAUUCUCUUGCCUUUAUUUUCGGUUUGGUGGGUGAGGUUUUUGUUUCCUGGAUUUUCUUCCUCUGUUAGAUGCCCCUUUCCUUGUAUCUUCCUCUUUGGUACUUUUUGUAUN
rnacentral:lncRNA from 1 species